rnacentral:rRNA from 1 species
AUUGAACGCUGGCGGCAUGCCUUACACAUGCAAGUCGAACGGCAGCGGGCCUUCGGGUGCCGGCGAGUGGCGAACGGUGAGUAAUGCAUCGGAACGUGCCAUUGAGUGGGGGAUAACGUAGCGAAAGUUACGCUAAUACCGCAUAUUCUGUGAGCAGGAAAGCAGGGGACCGCAAGGCCUUGCGCUCUUUGAGCGGCCGAUGUCAGAUUAGCUAGUUGGUGAGGUAAAGGACUUACCAAGGCGACGAUCUGUAGCGGGUCUGAGAGGAUGAUCCGCCACACUGGAACUGAGACACGGUCCAGACUCCUACGGGAGGCAGCAGUGGGGGAAUUUUGGACAAUGGGCGCAAGCCUGAUCCAGCCAUGCCGCGUGAGUGAAGAAGGCCUUC